AUUUGUUCAAUGUGAUAUGUGCUAAUUCUCUUUAUUCUCCUUUUUUAUUCUCCUCUUCAAGAGCAAAGGAGGAGUGAAGGGGCAGAGGAUUAAGGAAGUCCUGUCUAUCACAGAUUUGUGUGACAACAUCAACACCAGGAGGGAGUGUAUCCUGAGAGGCCUCAUCAUCUACCUCAAUGAAGAUCCAGACACCUUCUUCAAAGAAUAUCUGGCACUUGCGACUGAGGAUGCAGAAAGGGACCUAGCAACCACAGUCGUGGGGAUUUAUGUGAUCCGAAGAGAUGGGGAUCAGGAGCCUGAGGACAUUUGUGUUGUGAUUGAAGGCAUCAAAGUCCUGAGCAACUUGGGCAGUGUCAUCAUGGGCUUCGUCAUGCUUUUUGGGCUCAUUUAUGCCCUUGAUCUGAGUUUUCCAGACAACCUCAAAUACACCUGAAGUUUUUCCAGAAGAUCAUAAUGAAUUUGGAUGGGCACAAGCUGAAUGCAAAGAUACAACAGCUGAAAAUCAAGUUGUUUGCAUAGAACUAAACCACGUGACAAUCUACCUUGAUGGAGGGUUUAAGACUGAGAUUACUUGGGCUUGGACAAGUGUUUACACCCAGAAAGUUUGGCCAUUUCACCUCUCCAUCAUAAUUUGUUGACUCUACCUCCUUUUAUAAAAUAUUGUGAAUGUUUUGUGAUCUUUUUUUCUAUUUUUUUUUCUUUUGCUAGUCUUAAUAGUGGUCCACAAUAUUUUUUUCUGUUACCAGCUAUGAUAACACACCAAUCACCAAUGGUAGUUCAAGGCAAGCAAUUACAAUACUUAUCCAAUACAGAGUUUUUGCAGUGCAUUCUAUCCAGCUACGCAGGAGUGUCAAACUCAACUUCACUAAGGGCCAAACUGGAAAAUGAGAAUUGCAUUAAGGGCCAACAUGUAUAGUUUAUUGACAUGCUUUUAUUAUUUUACAUUUAUAUACUUGUGUUUUAUCUAGUAAAAAAGUGAAUAUGUUGAUAUUUUUGUUUGUUUAAAGAUGCCCUCCAGACAUUAGUAUUAAGAUGCAUACAAAUUUGCUUGGAACAAUAA